rnacentral:rRNA from 1 species
GUAGGGGGCAAGCGUUGUCCGGAAUUAUUGGGCGUAAAGCGCGCGCAGGCGGUCUCUUAAGUCCGAUGUGAAAGCCCACGGCUCAACCGUGGAGGGUCAUUGGAAACUGGGGGACUUGAGUGUAGGAGAGGAAAGUGGAAUUCCAUGUGUAGCGGUGAAAUGCGUAGAUAUGUGGAGGAACACCAGUGGCGAAGGCGACUUUCUGGCCUACAACUGACGCUGAGGUGCGAAAGCGUGGGGAGCAAACAGGGAUUAGAUACCCUGGUAGUCCACGCCGUAAACGAUGAGUGCUAGGUGUUAGGGGUUUCGAUGCCCCUUAGUGCCGAAGUUAACACAUUAAGCACUCCGCCUGGGGAGUACGACCCGCAAGGUUAG